CCUAAAAAGAAUAAAACUAAAAAAACAAAAUCGGAACACUUCUGGAGGUGGGUUCGUUCGUGCCCGAAGGCUUUCGUUCAUGCUCUCCCUUUUCCGGCGUCUCUCCCUUCUCUCCGGCGCCUCCCACUCGACUGACUCUCCGGCGACUCCCCACCCGCUGACUCUCCGGCGCCUCCCACUCGGCUGACUCUCCGGCGCCGACAGGUGGUGCUCCUUCACCGGCUGAAGCUUCCGAAUCCAGGAAGAACAAGAGGAUCUCGAAGGGGAAGAAGGGUGGGAAGAAGAAGGCGUGAGUGCUCAAUUCCGCCUCGACUUUGUGGAAAUCGAUUCCUGUUUUGGGGUGGUAUCUGAUGAUUGGCACGUAAUCUGUUGGAGCAUGUGCAUUUGCAUGUCGAGGGAAGCAAGAUUGAUCUAUUCAGUAUGAACUGGUUAUGGAGGAUGCCGCCAGUUCUGGAUUCUUGUGCAAGUUGAUGAGUGUUGUCUGAUGCGGCAUAGAUUUAGUUCAUUUAUUGGUCUUGUGAAGUGGAUUGAUCUGUAAAGGAGCACAUUAGAUAAAAUUAAUACUUGACAGUGGAGCUGAAAGUGUUAAGAGCUAACAGUGCACGUCUGUCUGUCAGAUCUUAUGCUAUAAGAAGUUGGAAAAAGGGUAAAGAUGGCUAUGUAUGAUGCUGAAGAAUUACAAGUUA